UACGAAGGGUGCAAACGUUGCUCGGAAUUAUUGGGCGUAAAGCGCACGUAGGCGGCUUAGCAAGUCGGAUGUGAAAUCCCGGGGCUUAACUUCGGAACUGCAUUCGAUACUGCGAUACUCGAGGACUCGAGAGGAGAUUGGAAUUCACGGUGUAGCAGUGAAAUGCGUAGAUAUCGUGAGGAAGACCAGUGGCGAAGGCGGAUCUCUGGAGAGUUCCUGACGCUGAGGCACGAAGGCCAGGGGAGCAAACGGG
rnacentral:rRNA from 1 species